rnacentral:lncRNA from 1 species
CACCCGACCCAGAAGGCCAGCUGCCUUCACCUCUCACUACCACGAAAGUAGUAGAGCUUGGGUUUGGCUGCCAUGACUCCUGGCUCAGGGUUUUCAAGGACACAGAUGAAGAGAUGCAGAGGGUGACAUACGGGGCAAGAUGCCUGGAUUUCCUGUGCCCUCCCCAGGUACUACCCUCCAGGUAUAAAAAGACAAUCUACUGUGAAGACCUUAGAUGUCUCCAUCCUCCUGCUCCAGAAGUUCCAUCAGAUUCUUUCAGG